GCAGUAGUGGCCGAGUGGUUAAGGCAAUGGACUAGAUAUUCAUUGGGGUCUCUCCGCACAGGUUCGAACCAGUCGACUGCG
rnacentral:tRNA from 2 species